GACCUAUCCUGGAUUUAGGGAAUUUAAACAUGACAGUGAUAACAUUUUUGUAAUAAGGGUAUCGGAUAGGUACUAGUUGUAGCACCAAUUUCAGCCCUUUUGCUGGCGGUUUAAUCUUGAUUCUACCUGUUGAGCAUUUUUACUACAGCUUUGGCCCCAGCCAGGCUUCAGUAAGGAAAGAUCUGAGUAGGCCACUGUGCGUCCUACACAAGCCUUGUUGAGUAAAAUUGUGUUCCUUUUCACUAUGGUUAAUUAUGGGAACAAGAUAAGGGUGGCAGAAUGCCUCUCUGGUGGGGCCCCUCUUUGUAUUGUACGCACGUGCUGGUGAGAGCUGGGACUUGGGGCAUGGCCAGUCUGGGACAGGCCAUGCCAGAUCGGGCUGCAGUGCCCCCUGGCAAGUGUAAGAUCUGUAGCUGGGAGGGGCCUGAUAGCGGAACUGUGGGGCACUGUCCUAUUAGGUUGUAGCUGCUGCUGGUGAGCAUGAGAGCCAAUGCUGGGGGCAGGCAAGACUGGGUAAGGUGACAGCACCUCUUGGCAUACAUGUGGGCCAGGCUGAGCCAAGCCACACCACCCAUGGAUGUGCAUGACAGCCAGAGGGAAUGCAGAACAACUUGGGCAAUAAUACAUGCCAGCACACACAAAAACCAGGGUUGGUGGCAGGUUUGGUGGGAGCUUUGGGAUCACCCCAACUAGGCCAAGGCACCUACUGGUGUGUAAUGACCGGGCCUGUGGAAAGGUGAGCUGGGCCAGGCUACAGCACCCAUCAGUUCAUGUGAGAUGGGGCUGGAGGCAGAGCUGACCAGCCAGCUGAACCUAUCAGUAUACACAUUUGCUGAUGUAGGUAAUAGGUCAAACCUCACCCUGCACUGGCUGGCACCAGAUCAAUGGACUCAAACCCUGGCCACAGGGAAAAAUCACAAAAUAUGUGGUCCCACCUUGGAGUGUAUGUAUCAGGACAGGACCUCCUCAGCUGGUGAUGCCUGUGCAAUGGACAGCAUGGCCAAAAGAACACAGAAGACGUGACAGUCAACUCGUCUAGGCCAGCAGGGGAAGUCAAGGGCAUCAUCACAGGAUGGACAGUAGAACAGGUUGAAUAAAAACAAGCGACUGUUUAACAAAGGAAUUAAGUAGUGAUACGUAAUAUCAGUAAGGAAUGAAAAGAUUUUUCUCAACGGGAAGUCAGGCACAAUGGGAUGGAAUUGUGGCUCUAGAAAUCAGAGUCCAACAGGACAAUCCGAGAGGCCCUCUCAGCUGUCCUCAGUGUAGCCCUGCUUACCCACCGACUCAUCAAGACGGAAGGCGGACAGCGGCUGGCAUUGCACUAGCGGUUGUUUUCCUAUUUGGAGGUGAUAAGACAGGAUUGGAAACUUAUCGUCUAAAACCAAUAUAAGUGGAAAUUUCAGUAUUUCUUAGCACAACUUGGCAAAUGACUUUCACGAAUUGAUUUCUAAACACAUAAAUAAUGAAGCCACCGAAGUGUUUUCACCCACUGAGCAGCAGCUUGGCCACGUAAAAAGCAGCAACAUGAUUGUCAAUUGUACCUCUUCAUCAAAAUGUGAAAGAUUAUUUCUCCAAAGGUCUUGACAGCUUGAUAACUACAGAAGGAACAUCUUAUGCUAAGAGCGUGAUUCCCUCACCUUCGGUGAUCGGCUCGCCAGCGCAGGCCCAGGCGGGAGACUGCUGAAACUCUGAAAAGGAAUUCAAGGUGGCUAGUGCCAUGGUUUUCAAGGUCCUGCGGAAGUAUCUGGGGACAGCCUGAUCCAGAGCAGCUCUGAUUUUACAGUUUCUCUCUUGGAUGUUGAACAAUCAUUUGAAGACUUCUGGGGCUGAGAAAGAAUCCCUUCGGCUGCUGACUGGUCCAUGUUGCCUCCUCCGGAGACCAGACUUGGCUGCACAGUACUUUCUUUUUGUAAAACUUCAGCACACUGCCUCAUUCUCUUGAGGACCACAGAGUCAGAAGGGUAUUCUGAAGCUGAUAAAAAAAAGCAUUCUGUAGGAGCAAAAUUUGGUCUAACCAACUAUUACAUCCUUGAUGUAAAUGAAGAAACAAACAAAAAAUGCUUUUGCAUAAAUGAAGCUUAUUUAAACAGAUUAUACCCAAUAGGCUGCACUUUUCCCACAAUCACAAGUCAAAGAAUUCUAUCUUUUCAGGAAUCAUCAGUAGACAAUGACUGGUUUCUCAAGUCUUAGACAUGACAUGAUGACCGGCGUCAUUAUUUACAACUUACAAGUACAUCUUUAAGUACUCUUCUAUGAUGCUAGCAUGGUAAAACACAUAGCUGUCUGUCUCAGGCUUGCUGGAUACUUUGUUGUGUCAACAAUUACAAGGAAGUUCUGAAAAGGUAAUUGCAAGAGCCAGCUUGGCAUCGAGUUGAGCGGACUUUGCUGAUGCUCAUGUUGAUGUGUGCAUGGUUUGCAUGCAGAGGAGAACAGCAUCGAAACACCCAGACAGCCUAGAGCAUCAGAAAGCACACGAGCAAGCAGCGCUUGAUUUCUAUGAAUAAAGCUCGAAUCAGGUGGUUCUGACAAUUAAAAAUCAAGUUAUCUUUUUGAAAGGUGUAUCACUCUAGUAGGACUGCAGAAUGGCAAAUAUUUCCUCCAUUAUUUGGAUACAGCUUAAUUCAGAAUCCUGAUUUAGGGAAUGCUCGUGUUGGGAGAACAAUGAACUCAACGCAUACCAGGUAGGCUUGAGACAACUUGGAAACGUGGCAUCGAGGGGAACUUGAGAAAAAGUCCUUGCAGUAUUGUAAAAGUCAGUGAUUAUUCAUCUAUUUACAAUAAAAUUUAGAACAGUAUUAACCAUUUUAGACCAAUUCAGACUAAUAAGAGAAAAUAUUAAAACAAAGGUGUCCUUAUGCUGUGACAUUGCAAGGUACAGAUUAAUACAGGGUAGGGAGUCUGUAUCACAAAUUACGUCAAAUUCAUUGCAAUAACUUGCAGAGACCUUCAUGAAGUUCAUUCUUGGUACUUUGUCAUCUUUAGAAAUAAAUAACACCUUUCCAAUUUAGCUGUAAGUUUGGAAUGUGUCAUAAUUCAUACAGGGAAGGAGUUUAAACUUUAUAUCCUGAGGAAAAAGUUGGUUUGGAAAAGAUAAAUAAGCAAAAAUGCUUAAUGUAUUUUAAAGAAUAAU